rnacentral:rRNA from 1 species
GCAGUCGAACGAGAAAGGCUCUUCGGAGCCGAGUACAGUGGCGAACGGGUGAGUAACACGUGGGCAACCUGCCCCAUGGAGCGGGACAACCCGAGGAAACUCGGGCUAAUACCGCAUGAUUCGUACGGUCAUAAGUCCGUACGGGAAAUGGUAGCUUCGGCCUCCGCCAUGGGAUGGGCCCGCGGCGCAUUAGCUUGUUGGUGGGGUAACGGCUCACCAAGGCGACGAUGCGUAGCUGGUCUGAGAGGACGAUCAGCCACACUGGGACUGAGACACGGCCCAGACUCCUACGGGAGGCAGCAGUGGGGAAUCUUGCGCAAUGGGCGGAAGCCUGACGCAGCAACGCCGCGUGUGGGAAGACGGCCUUCGGGUUGUAAACCACUUUCAGGGGGGACGAAGCUUCCGAGGUUAAUAGCCUACGGGGUGACGGUACCCCCAGAAGAAGCCCCGGCUAACUACGUGCCAGCAGCCGCGGUAAUACGUAGGGGGCGAGCGUUGUCCGGAAUCAUUGGGCGUAAAGCGCGUGUAGGCGGCUCAGUCAGUCUGGUGUGAAAUCUUGGGGCUCAACCCCAAGCCUGCACUGGAUACUGCUGAGCUUGAGUCCGGGAGGGGAGAGCGGAAUUCCUAGUGUAGCGGUGAAAUGCGCAGAUAUUAGGAAGAACACCGGUGGCGAAGGCGGCUCUCUGGAACGGUACUGACGCUGAGACGCGAAAGCGUGGGGAGCGAACAGGAUUAGAUACCCUGGUAGUCCACGCCGUAAACGAUGGGCACUAGAUGUGGGGCGGUGUCGACUCCGUCCGUGUCGAAGCUAACGCAUUAAGUGCCCCGCCCGGGGGAGUACGGCCGCAAGGCUAAAACUCAAAGGAAUUGACGGGGGGCCCGCACAAGCAGCGGAGCAAGGUGGUUUAAUUCGACGCAACGCGAAGAACCUUACCUGGGCUUGACAUGUCCGUGCAAACCCCGGAAACAGGGUCCCU